rnacentral:rRNA from 1 species
AGAGUUUGAUCCUGGCUCAGGAUGAACGCUGGCGGCGUGCCUAAUACAUGCAAGUCGAGCGAACGGACGAGAAGCUUGCUUCUCUGAUGUUAGCGGCGGACGGGUGAGUAACACGUGGAUAACCUACCUAUAAGACUGGGAUAACUUCGGGAAACCGGAGCUAAUACCGGAUAAUAUUUUGAACCGCAUGGUUCAAAAGUGAAAGACGGUCUUGCUGUCACUUAUAGAUGGAUCCGCGCUGCAUUAGCUAGUUGGUAAGGUAACGGCUUACCAAGGCAACGAUGCAUAGCCGACCUGAGAGGGUGAUCGGCCACACUGGAACUGAGACACGGUCCAGACUCCUACGGGAGGCAGCAGUAGGGAAUCUUCCGCAAUGGGCGAAAGCCUGACGGAGCAACGCCGCGUGAGUGAUGAAGGUCUUCGGAUCGUAAAACUCUGUUAUUAGGGAAGAACAUAUGUGUAAGUAACUGUGCACAUCUUGACGGUACCUAAUCAGAAAGCCACGGCUAACUACGUGCCAGCAGCCGCGGUAAUACGUAGGUGGCAAGCGUUAUCCGGAAUUAUUGGGCGUAAAGCGCGCGUAGGCGGUUUUUUAAGUCUGAUGUGAAAGCCCACGGCUCAACCGUGGAGGGUCAUUGGAAACUGGAAAACUUGAGUGCAGAAGAGGAAAGUGGAAUUCCAUGUGUAGCGGUGAAAUGCGCAGAGAUAUGGAGGAACACCAGUGGCGAAGGCGACUUUCUGGUCUGUAACUGACGCUGAUGUGCGAAAGCGUGGGGAUCAAACAGGAUUAGAUACCCUGGUAGUCCACGCCGUAAACGAUGAGUGCUAAGUGUUAGGGGGUUUCCGCCCCUUAGUGCUGCAGCUAACGCAUUAAGCACUCCGCCUGGGGAGUACGACCGCAAGGUUGAAACUCAAAGGAAUUGACGGGGACCCGCACAAGCGGUGGAGCAUGUGGUUUAAUUCGAAGCAACGCGAAGAACCUUACCAAAUCUUGACAUCCUUUGACAACUCUAGAGAUAGAGCUUUCCCCUUCGGGGGACAAAGUGACAGGUGGUGCAUGGUUGUCGUCAGCUCGUGUCGUGAGAUGUUGGGUUAAGUCCCGCAACGAGCGCAACCCUUAAGCUUAGUUGCCAUCAUUAAGUUGGGCACUCUAAGUUGACUGCCGGUGACAAACCGGAGGAAGGUGGGGAUGACGUCAAAUCAUCAUGCCCCUUAUGAUUUGGGCUACACACGUGCUACAAUGGACAAUACAAAGGGCAGCGAAACCGCGAGGUCAAGCAAAUCCCAUAAAGUUGUUCUCAGUUCGGAUUGUAGUCUGCAACUCGACUACAUGAAGCUGGAAUCGCUAGUAAUCGUAGAUCAGCAUGCUACGGUGAAUACGUUCCCGGGUCUUGUACACACCGCCCGUCACACCACGAGAGUUUGUAACACCCGAAGCCGGUGGAGUAACCUUUUAGGAGCUAGCCGUCGAAGGUGGGACAAAUGAUUGGGGUGAAGUCGUAACAAGGUAGCCGUAUCGGAAGGUGCGGCUGGAUCACCUCCUUU